rnacentral:miRNA from 1 species
AAGGUCCAACCUCACGUGUC